ACGUCGACACUAAAGUUGUCGAAUGAUGAGUGUGAAGUCGGUGCAAGUGCGACUGUGAGAAGGAACAAGAAAAUUAUGAAUUUUCCUGCCAUUAUCGAUCCAUAAAGUAAGUCUUCAACUCCCUGUUCAAAGAAAAAAACAAAAAGGUAAGAAAAAAUCAAGAAAAUUGGCAAUACUAAUAUCGCCCCAAGAACACCAGAAUCAAUAGUAACGUCGACGCUAAAGUUGUGGAAUUGUAAGUGUGAAGUCGGUGCAAGUGCGAGGAACAAGAAAACUAUGAAUUUUCCUGCCAUCAUCGAUCCAUGAAGUAAGUCUUCAACUCCCUGUUCGAAGAAAAAAACAAAAAGGUAAGAAAAAAUCAAGAAAAUUCGCGAUACUAAUAUCGCCCCCAAAACAUCAGAAUCAAUCGGGUCGUCGUCGAGAGUAAAGUUGUGGGAUGAUGAGUGUGAAGUCAGUGAAAGUGCGACUGCGAGAAGGAACAAGAAAACCCUGAGU
rnacentral:lncRNA from 1 species